AGAGCGAACGCUGGCGGCAGGCCUAACACAUGCAAGUCGAACGGACCCUUCGGGGUUAGUGGCGGACGGGUGAGUAACACGUGGGAACGUGCCUUUAGGUUCGGAAUAGCUCCUGGAAACGGGUGGUAAUGCCGAAUGUGCCCUUCGGGGGAAAGAUUUAUCGCCUUUAGAGCGGCCCGCGUCUGAUUAGCUUGUUGGUGAGGUAAUGGCUCACCAAGGCUACGAUCAGUAGCUGGUCUGAGAGGAUGACCAGCCACA
rnacentral:rRNA from 1 species